CUAUUGCUAUGGAGCUUAGGCAGGGGUCAAUUCAUGGGAACUAAAGUAUAGGUACUUACCCAAGAUUUCCACUUAAGGCCUGGUCCUGCAGAAAUAAUGGGAACAGUGUUCCUGCUGUGGAAAAAGUGCAGGAACUCAGUUCCCAUGCAUUCCUGCAGGCAUAGUACCCAACAGUUUUUAUAGGACUGAUAGUAAGUCAAGGGAAGUAUCUAGAGGUUGUGAGCCGCCUGUGAGGGCAGCAAGGAGAGUAAAGAAACUUGCGCCCCUAUUUAUAGCCUUACAGCAGUGUUCCCCAACCAGAGUUGUAGUUUUGCAACAGCUGGAAGCACACUGGUUGGGAAACACUGUCCUACAGUACCCUGGUCCCCUUUUUUUUAAUUAAAAGAGACUGUAUUUACUUAUACAUAUGUGUUUUCAUGGGAGUCUGCCCUGGUUACUUUCCAUAAACCCUGUGUCUAGACCAAAGUCAACCAACAUAGUCAUAUCAAGGACCAAGAAAUCUGCAUUUUUAUCUUUUAUUACAAUUUUCAGCCUGGCGCCAAGUAUUAUGUCAUCUGCUGAUCUGCAUAGCACCAUGUGUUCCGACUGUAAAUCACCAGAUGUAGUCAGUAGCGUUUAUCUUAUUAUUCAGCCAUUGCUCUAUGUGUAUUUAUGUGUGUUUAUUACUGAUGCCGUAUCUUCAAUAUCAGAUUUCUAAUUAAAAAAAUAAAUCUCUGUAUAGGAGUGCAAACAAAACAUGAACUCUCUAACCCCCCUCAACGGCAGUAGGGCUCCUCCAUGGAUCCAUCUGCGGCUGUAUAAUGUUCGCGUACGGAAAAAGAAACAUACCCUUCCCCACGUUUUAUGGCACCAUUCACUGAGUAAUUGGAACAUUCAUGCAGUUCAAUGGAUUGUGACAGCUGAUCAACACCUCCUGCAAGACUGAAGCCUAGACCGGUGCCUUCCUCCUUGUGGAGAACCACCACAUGGAUGUCAUCAAAUUGCUGUGAUAGGAGAAUAUACAGAGAUAAGGUUACACAUUAACAUCUUCAAGCAUAUCUAGAGAAGGCACUUUAUUGUUAUGAGGAUGUCACCAUUAUAAGUAUUGUGAAGAAACUUCAUUGCAGCCUGGAUUGAUAUCAUUGAAGUGUUUAUUUUCACAAAAAUCUCCCCCUCCUUCUUUUCAUGUUAUUGUUAAAUAGACCAUUCUAAUGAGUUGACCCUUAUAAUAAACUUUUUUUCCACCUUGAAUACUAUGUAAGCACUGGAUAGUGUAAUUUCUGUGAUUCUUGGCACCGGGCUGUGCGCCUGACGGGCGACGCGAUCGCAUUGUUCCCAAUACAUGGGGGUAAUGUGUGUGCGCGGCAUGCUUGUGCAGCCGCACUAUGCCCGGUGGAUCUAGUUAAGGUAUGGGCAUCCCGGUCAGCAGCACAGCUUAUUCUGCAUGCACUACAACACUGGAAGAUUAUUGGUAGAUACGGGGGUGAUACGCUGAGGCAUCAGAGACGCUUACGCAGUCGGUUUGUUUACAAACACCUGGCAUGAUAGUGAUGGACAUGAACGGCAGAUCUGAAGAGAGAUCCCCUCUGUUAGAAGGCUGGCAAUGAAGUUAUCUGUGGAUUAAUGUUGUAUAAUGCACAAUUGGUUGCACUGAGCACAUUAUUUGUACUUAUAAUGUAUUGUGUAUAUUUGGUUACCAUGCCAAUCUGACAUCACUUUGAUUGACUGAUGACUGAUCUUAACACCAAUGUAUGUAUUGUUGAGUUGUGUGUAAGGUUGAUUACA